AUACGGAGGGAGCGAGCGUUAAUCGGAAUUACUGGGCGUAAAGCGCGCGUAGGCGGCUUUGUAAGUCGGAUGUGAAAGCCCCGGGCUCAACCUGGGAAUUGCAUUCGAUACUGCAGAGCUAGAGUAUGGUAGAGGGAAGUGGAAUUUCCGGUGUAGCGGUGAAAUGCGUAGAUAUCGGAAGGAACACCAGUGGCGAAGGCGACUUCCUGGGCCAAUACUGACGCUGAGGUGCGAAAGCGUGGGGAGCAAACAGGAUUAGAAACCCUAGUAGUCC
rnacentral:rRNA from 1 species